rnacentral:piRNA from 1 species
GUUGCAGUCUACACAUGGCCAACAUGUC